UUGACCCUAAAUACGGAAGCGAACACACGUUUUUGGCGGGCUCUUCGAAAAUUUAAGAUCACUAUGGGAAAAAGGAAAGAACCAACCCACAAGCCUGUCCCUUGUGGGGUUUGGGUCUCCAAGAAGAGGGAGAAACAGCUGUUACUGCCCCAACCAAAGCGUGCCAGGCUGUCAUCUGUGACUGUUAUACCAGCACGGCAGACAGGUGGUGCUAGAGAGCUGCCCAAACGCCAGGCCACGAUAAUGGAGAUUUUUGGCUCAAGAGGAAGAAAAGAUGCUGACACCGCAGCUGCUACAUCCGGUACAAGUCUAAUU